GUCUGGGUGGUGUAGUUGGUUAUCACGUUAGUCUUACACACUAAAGGUCCGCAGUUCGAACCUGGGCUCAGACA